CCCCUCCAUGCUCUCUUAAGCUUUCACCUUACUUACUCUUAAGCUUUUCUGCGCCCCCCCCCCCCGCAGUGGCUGUCUCUCUAAUACCUCUUGGGGGUGGGGUGCAUGUCUCUCCUUAUGGAUGGCUACCUGAGACAGCAGUACUGAGCAUAUGUGAACAACUGUAGCCCUGGGUUCACUUUUGCUUUUGGUGAAGGUGACUGGGUAGUAAUGUCCUUGCUUUGUCUAAACGGCUGGCAACUGUGUAGAAGUAAAGAUAUCGGAGAGGAGGUGUCUGGGCUAAGAAGGACAUGAUCUAUCCCUCAUCUAUUGUCUUCUUUCUCAGUUCAUGGGCUGGAGUGUUAUGAAUGCUUGGGUGUCUCAUCUAGAACUAAAUGUCCACGAACUCAAUGCCUCAACAUUAAUGAUUUCUGUGUUACUCAGUUGGGAUUCAUGACUACAGGCGGUCUCAAAUUUCCAGUAAAGUUCAGUCAGUGCCUUCCCUUCUGCCCUCCUGAUUUUGAAAAUAGCAUCAUCACCCAGGAUACUUUUGUCAUCUGGAAGACUAUCUGUUGCCAAGAAGACCUCUGCAAUUGAGUAGUAAUUCUCACUUUAGGCAGCACCUAAACAAUGGCAGGGGUGCUUCCAUCCAGCAUGGGCUCAGUUCUCCAGCAGACCAUGCUGUGGUGGUCCUUUCAAUAACCCCAAACCUAAACCCUUUCUCUUUAAUACUCAUUUGCAGCCACUGCUUACUGGAGCCAUCUAGUGAUAAUUUGUCAGUUAUAGAAGCUCUGAGGUAGGGUAGUGUGUGGAAAACCUUGUUUCAACUUUAUAGCCCCUGUUGAGUAGGUGCUCCACUCCUCUCUAUGGCUUUCAGAUCUGUACUUCCUGGAACGUUGUUUUGUUGUGCUUGCUGCUUUUUCCCUGGAGGCAUUUAGCCAGCACAGGGAAGCAUCAGAAAUCCAAGGUAUUAUUUCAUCACCAUCUAUGCAGAAAUGUCUGGGUCCAGCAGGCUUCCCACAUGUGUAGCCCGAUGUCCCCCUUCUGAGUCCAAUAAACUGUUGUUCUCCCA